rnacentral:rRNA from 1 species
AGAGUUUGAUCCUGGCUCAGGAUGAACGCUGGCGGUGUGCCAAAUACAUGCAAGUCGAGCGGAAAGGCCCCUUCGGGGGUACUCGAGCGGCGGACGGCUGAGUAACGCGUAGGAACGUACCCCAAAGUGAGGGAUAAGCACCAGAAAUGGUGUCUAAUACCGCAUGUGGUCUUCGGAUUAAAGCUUUAUGCGCUUUGGGAACGGCCUGCGUCCGAUUAGCUAGUUGGUGAGGUAAUAGCUUACCAAGGCGACGAUCGGUAGCUGGUCUGAGAGGAUGAUCAGCCAGACUGGGACUGAGACACGGCCCAGACUCCUACGGGAGGCAGCAGUAGGGAAUCUUCCACAAUGGGCGAAAGCCUGAUGGAGCAACACCGCGUGCAGGAUGAAGGCUUUCGGGUCGUAAACUGCUUUUCUGAUUGACGAUUAUGACGGUAAAUCAGGAAUAAGGGUCGGCUAACUACGUGCCAGCAGCCGCGGUCAUACGUAGGACCCAAGCGUUAUCCGGAAUUACUGGGCGUAAAGAGUUGCGUAGGUGGCAAAGUAAGCGAGAUAUGAAAUUGUGUGGCUCGACCAUACACCCAUAUUUUGAACUGCUUAGCUAGAGGACGAGAGAGGUAACUGGAAUUCCCUGUGUAGGAGUGAAAUCCGUAGAUAUAGGGAGGAACACCGAUGGCGUAGGCAGGUUACUGGCUCGUUCCUGACACUCAUGCACGAAAGCGUGGGGAGCAAACGGGAUUAGAUACCCCGGUAGUCCACGCCGUAAACUAUGGAUGCUAGCUGUGAUGCGUAUCGACCCGUGUCGUAGCGAAGCUAACGCGUUAAGCAUCCCGCCUGUGGAGUACGGCCGCAAGGCUAAACAUAAAGGAAUUGACGGGGACCCGCACAAGCGGUGGAGCGUGUUGUUUAAUUCGAUGAUNGCGAGA